GGACACGUGAAACCCUGUGGGAAGCAGGAGGGACCACCCUCCAAGGCUAAAUACUACCUAGUGACCGAUAGCGUAUAGUACCGUGAGGGAAAGGUGAAAAGAACCCCGGGAGGGGAGUGAAAUAGAACCUGAAACCCUGCACUUACAAGCUGUGGAAGCACAUUUCUUGUGUGACCGCGUACUUUUUGUAGAACGGGCCAACGAGUUACGUUAAGUAGCAAG
rnacentral:rRNA from 1 species